UUGCAAGGAUCAAGGCUCCUCUAGAGAAGACCUUUCUUACAACAUACGGGCCUUCAUAGUUUGGUGUCCAUUUUCCCCUUGGGUCAGUAUGGAUUGGAAGAAUCUUCUUCAAUACGAGGUCUCCGGCCUUUAGGCUGCGGGGGAAAACCUUUUUGUCAUGUGCCCUCUUGAUGCGCUUUUGAUAAAGUUGGCCAUGGAAGAUGGUUGUUAAGCGCUUCUUGAUGUUUUUGUUAGCUGCCUUAACAAUGCCAUUCAUCUUAGGCCUAUAAGGGGAUGAGUUGU
rnacentral:lncRNA from 1 species